UAGCUCAGUCGGAGGAGCGCUCGGUUUUUCAUCGUGUAAUCGUGGGUUCAAUCCCCACAAUG
rnacentral:tRNA from 1 species